ACGCGAUUGAUGCUGCGUUGACUCCGCU
rnacentral:sRNA from 1 species